rnacentral:rRNA from 1 species
GACGAACGCUGGCGGCGUGCCUAAUACAUGCAAGUAGAACGCUGAAGGAGGAGCUUGCUUCUCUGGAUGAGUUGCGAACGGGUGAGUAACGCGUAGGUAACCUGCCUGGUAGCGGGGGAUAACUAUUGGAAACGAUAGCUAAUACCGCAUAAUAGUAGAUGUUGCAUGACAUUUGCUUAAAAGGUGCAAUUGCAUCACUACCAGAUGGACCUGCGUUGUAUUAGCUAGUUGGUGGGGUAACGGCUCACCAAGGCGACGAUACAUAGCCGACCUGAGAGGGUGAUCGGCCACACUGGGACUGAGACACGGCCCAGACUCCUACGGGAGGCAGCAGUAGGGAAUCUUCGGCAAUGGACGGAAGUCUGACCGAGCAAGGCCGCGGGAGUGAAGAAGGUUUUCGGAUCGUAAAGCUCUGUUGUAAGAGAAGAACGAGUGUGAGAGUGGAAAGUUCACACUGUGACGGUAUCUUACCAGAAAGGGACGGCUAACUACGUG